AAGGUAGCCGUACGAGAACGUGCGGCUGGAUCACCUCCUUUUUAAGGAGUAAACAUGCGUUUUAAGUUUACUUAAAAUGAGAUGUUAAUGGUCGAUUCUUGAAUUGUAAUAUUUGAAUCGAGUUCUGCGGGGCGUUUAUUUGUGUGUUAUUGAAGCUACUUUAUUUAUCGGAGACUAUAUCUUAAAGAGGUGUGAGUUGUAUAAACGGGCCUAUAGCUCAGUUAGUCAGAGCGCACUCCUGAUAAGGGUGAGGUCUGUGGUGCAACUCCACAUAGGCCCACCAACUGAUGCACAGUGUCG
rnacentral:tRNA from 1 species